AAUAAAACAGUGUCUGGAUUGAAUAUGGAAUCUUCUGUUUCUCGUGAAACAAUUUUGAAAACGAUUCAAGAUGUUCGUCGAUUUUUAAGAACAGAUUUUUCUGCAACCAGCAAUGACCCUUUUCUCGAUCACGUGGCUAAGCAAAUUUUGUCUACGAGUUUAGCGGAACGUAUUCAAAUGGUAGGACGGAUCGGGUUUGAAGAGCAGCAGCAGGAUAACAUAUUGCCGUUGUCCCCUUUUGUUUCCCUAGAUUUGAAGGCAUUCUUCGUCGAGCUUGCCCUCUCCUUCAUCCUCCUCUCGACAGUCGACACUGCUUCCUGUCGCAGUAAACUUCUGGGAGUUGAUGUCAUGCAAGGAGUCAAAGCAAAACAAGGCAAUCAAGGCUUGCAAAGACUUCAAGUCCAAAUAUCCCGACAUUGACCUCGUUCCCGUGGAGAAGUUUCUCCGCGACACUCCAUAGGAUAUCAAGGACUCCGUUUUGUCAAGUGACGCUGCGCACAAUCUCAUGCUCAGGAGGCUCAAUUUCGAGUUAUUCCAGGAGGACACAGCAGACCCUUUUGGUUGGUGGAUAAAAUCAAGAAUGCUUAAAAAUGACUUACUGGCUUGUGGGAGCACUGCUAUUUAUUUCUACUGGCUUCACAAUUUGCAAACUGAUUUCAAUAUUCAAGUAUUUGAAUUUUUUUUUGUUCUUUCCUUUUCUUUUCUCAUUUGCCUUGAUAAUUGGAUAGGGGAUGGGGUGAAUAAUUGAAUAUCUGGAGUUUAUUUAUUUAGUGUUAGGUUAGCUUUUACAUAACUUUACCUUAUUUUAGUGUUGUAUUGUAAUAACUGCAAGGGGAACUCUGGGAAGAUAUUUUGUUAUAAUUGCUGUUAUAGAUCAAUUUUCUAUUCCUUUUCAUUUUAAGUC